rnacentral:rRNA from 1 species
UACGAAGGGGGCUAGCGUUGCUCGGAAUUACUGGGCGUAAAGGGCGCGUAGGCGGCACUGUUAGUCAGGCGUGAAAGUCCUGGGCUCAACCUGGGAACUGCGCUUGAUACGGCAGAGCUAGAGGAUGGAAGAGGGUCGCGGAAUUCCCAGUGUAGAGGUGAAAUUCGUAGAUAUUGGGAAGAACACCGGUGGCGAAGGCGGCGACCUGGUCCAUUACUGACGCUGAGGAGCGAAAGCGUGGGGAGCGAACAGG